UACGUAGGGUGCAAGCGUUGUCCGGAAUUAUUGGGCGUAAAGGGCUCGUAGGCGGCGUGUCGCGUCGGGAGUGAAAGCCCGCUGCUUAACUCCGGGCCUGCAGUGGGUACGGGCUGACUAGAGUGCGGUAGGGGAGACUGGAAUUCCUGGUGUAGCGGUGAAAUGCGCAGAUAUCAGGAGGAACACCGGUGGCGAAGGCGGGUCUCUGGGCCGUAACUGACGCUGAGGAGCGAAAGCGUGGGGAGCGAACAGG
rnacentral:rRNA from 1 species